UCAUGAUUUACAUUUGAGUGAGUGGCGAACUGGUGAGUAACACGUGGGAAACCUGCCCAGAAGCGGGGGAUAACACCUGGAAACAGAUGCUAAUACCGCAUAACAACUUGGACCGCAUGGUCCGAGUUUGAAAGAUGGCUUCGGCUAUCACUUUUGGAUGGUCCCGCGGCGUAUUAGCUAGAUGGUGAGGUAACGGCUCACCAUGGCAAUGAUACGUAGCCGACCUGAGAGGGUAAUCGGCCACAUUGGGACUGAGACACGGCCCAAACUCCUACGGGAGGCAGCAGUAGGGAAUCUUCCACAAUGGACGAAAGUCUGAUGGAGCAACGCCGCGUGAGUGAAGAAGGGUUUCGGCUCGUAAAACUCUGUUGUUAAAGAAGAACAUAUCUGAGAGUAACUGUUCAGGUAUUGACGGUAUUUAACCAGAAAGCCACGGCUAACUACGUGCCAGCAGCCGCGGUAAUACGUAGGUGGCAAGCGUUGUCCGGAUUUAUUGGGCGUAAAGCGAGCGCAGGCGGUUUUUUAAGUCUGAUGUGAAAGCCUUCGGCUCAACCGAAGAAGUGCAUCGGAAACUGGGAAACUUGAGUGCAGAAGAGGACAGUGGAACUCCAUGUGUAGCGGUGAAAUGCGUAGAUAUAUGGAAGAACACCAGUGGCGAAGGCGGCUGUCUGGUCUGUAACUGACGCUGAGGCUCGAAAGUAUGGGUAGCAAACAGGAUUAGAUACCCUGGUAGUCCAUACCGUAAACGAUGAAUGCUAAGUGUUUGGAAGGGUUUCCGCCCUUCAGUGCUGCAGCUAACGCAUUAAGCAUUCCGCCUGGGGGAGUACGGCCGCAAGGCUGAAACUCAAAGGAAUUGACGGGGGCCCGCACAAGCGGUGGAGCCAGGUGGUUUAAUUCGAAGCUACGCGAAGAACCUUACCAGGUCUUGACAUACUAUGCAAAUCUAAGAAAAUUAGACGUUCCCUUCGGGGACUUGGAUACAGGUGGUGGCAUGGGUUGUCGUCAGCUCCUGUCCUGAAGAAAUUUGGGGUUAAUUCCCGCAACGAGGGCAACCCUUAUUAAUCAGUUGCCGCCAUUAAAUUGGGCACCCUGGUGAGACUGCCGGUGAAAACCCGAGAAAAAGGGGGGGGGGUGGGGUCCAAAACAAUAA
rnacentral:rRNA from 2 species